rnacentral:lncRNA from 1 species
GCUUUUUUUCCAGCCAGUCCAUUAUUUACCUGCCCUGUACUAGUAAACAGGGCUUCCCUGGUAUCUCAGAUGGUAAAGAAUCUUCCUACAAUACAGGAGACCGGGAUUUGAUCCCUGGGUCGGGAAGAUCCCCUGGAGAAGGGAAUGGCAACCCAUUCCAGUAUUCUUGCCUGGAGAAUCCCAUGGUCAGAGGAGCCGGAGGGCUACAGUCCUUCGGGUCACAAAGAGUCAGACAUGACUGAGAGACUAACACUUUCACUUGACUUUGCUUUUGUACUAAUAAACUAUCCUGAGGCUGUUUCAACAAUUUUCCUUUUUGAAUGAGGGAGACCUCUGGACAUGAUGUAUUGUGGUUGUUAUAUCACCGGCCUAUGGAUGAUCCUAACUGGGAAUGAAAUUGUCAUCUACUUACCCAUCUGUCAUAGGACUUAGAACUUAAGAAAUGGACAUACAGGCUAAAUCCCACUAUCACAAAUAGAGUUAUAGCAAGUCUCAGUGGAUCCAAAAUAUUUUGAAAAACUUGUGUCCCCUUGGAACUUUCUGCAUGUGUUUUAUCUGUAAGCUUAGCAUAUCCAUGGUCUGAGACGAGCUUCAAGCUCUGCAUAAAUAAAUAAAUAGAUUCUCACUCCUGCCCUGGAAACUGCUUGGCUGCAUCUGGGAUUCUAUUACUAUCUGUCUGGGCUUCUGCAGCCUCUGUUUGGUGUUGGUCACACAGCCCUGCCCUGUGGCGGCUCUGUUCUUGCUAGGAGGUUGCGUCUGUUGGAGGCAGGCUGCUGGACCACACAAGGACUGUGAAUAAACUGUUUAUUCCACACUGGUAUUCAGGCCGGUACACCCACUGUGGUCCAAACUCCACCUUAAUGACCGGAUCUCUGCAGCUAACACCCCCUAAUCAGGCUCCCAAACCAGAGGCGCUGCAGAUGUGGAAGACCAGGAUGGCAGGGGCACUCCUAUAAACACAGACAGGUUCCUUACUGACAGCUUGAUCAAGACCACAGCCCAGGAUACAGCAUCCAAGGCCCUUCUUUGCACCUUUGGUCUCACUGCAUUGCUGGGAGGGGCCGUGUUCUCACUGCUAUGCAGCCAUACUGCUAGACAGUGGCCAUUCAUGCCCUGCCAUACUUCCCUGACUCCCCACCUGGAGAGAGUGUGUCCUGGAUGCAGCCUAGCAGUGGCCAGUUCGCACUCUGGCUCCUCAGCAGAUUUCACCAUCACAUGGGACUGUGGUGCUUGGCUCACAGUUUCAUGCCCCAUCUCGAGUACAUGACCUGGCUGCCCUCCUCUUUGGCCCCCCCAAAAUGACCCCCACCCAGGGGCCAUCUCAUCUAGAGCACAGUAAACAGUGUUUCCUCCCUGUAGGAGAAAGAGGCAGAGUGAAUGAAUGAAGAGGGAGCGGGGUCCAGGUCACUCAGCUAAUGAACUAGAGAUUCAGGGCAGUUUUUCUGCCUCUAAGCCCAGCCUUGCCUCACAAUGUGCAGUCAUUUAUUUUCACUAGACCUGGUAGACAGGCUGUUCCCCUAUACCAAAAUACAGUCUGGUGCAAGAGCUCCUCUAAGAGGCAGGUUUUCUGAGUUUGAUUUUAGGUUCUGCCAGAUACGAACAGGGAACUGGGAAUAGUAAGAAUACCCAUCCCAGGC